UACGUAGGGGGCAAGCGUUGUCCGGAUUUAUUGGGCGUAAAGAGCGUGUAGGCGGCCAGGUAGGUCUGCUGUGAAAACUCGAGGCUUAACCUCGAGCUGUCGGCGGAAACCAUCUGGCUAGAGUCCGGGAGAGGGAUGUGGAAUUCCAGGUGUAGCGGUGAAAUGCGUAGAUAUCUGGAGGAACACCGGUGGCGAAGGCGGCAUCCUGGACCGGUAUUGACGCUGAGGCGCGAAAGCCAGGGGAGCAAACGGG
rnacentral:rRNA from 1 species